AUCAUGAAAAGUAUCUUGUAGUUCUUCAAAGGUGAAAUCUAGGAUAAUUUUACAGGUUACCUCAUCAUUUUAUGCCAUGAGACACAAGUUCACAACAUUUUCAUCACAACAUUUUCAUCUUCUCCAUCAGAGUUAGAUUCAUCGCUGUCGCUUCAUGUGGCAACUAUUUUUUUCUUUUUCAUCUGCUUAUAAUUUUUUUUCAAGUUG
rnacentral:lncRNA from 1 species